GUCCUUUUAAGCCCAGCUCGGCGCCGGCCAGCCCCGUUUGCCCAGUGACAUCUCCACGGUGUGCGGGACAAAGGCGGACACGGAACAGCAGAAAUCAGAAGAGAUCAUGGCUUCCAGGUUAAAGACCUUUGCUCAACUUUCUGCUGCUCUGAGUUAAUCUUUCUCUACCCAGCCAUCGGAGUGACCAGCACAGGAUCCCAUAAAGGGAGAGGGAAAGGUGUCCACUGGAAGCAGAGGCUUGCAGCAGCUGCCCACUGCUGGGAACUCAGAAAAGAAACCAC